rnacentral:rRNA from 1 species
UCGAGAAUUUUUCACAAUGGGCGAAAGCCUGAUGGAGCGACGCCGCGUGGGGGAUGAAUGGCUUCGGCCCGUAAACCCCUGUCAUUUGCGAACAAACCUCGUCACCUAACAAGUGGCGAGCUGAUUGUAGCGGAAGAGGAAGGGACGGCUAACUCUGUGCCAGCAGCCGCGGUAAUACAGAGGUCCCAAGCGUUGUUCGGAUUCACUGGGCGUAAAGGGUGCGUAGGCGGUUGGGUAAGUCUGACGUGAAAUCUUCAAGCUCAACUUGGAAAUUGCGUCGGAUACUAUCUGGCUAGAGGAAUGGAGGGGAGACUGGAAUUCUCGGUGUAGCAGUGAAAUGCGUAGAUAUCGAGAGGAACACCAGUGGCGAAGGCGAGUCUCUGGACGUUUCCUGACGCUGAGGCACGAAAGCCAGGGGAGCAAACGGGAUUAGAUACCCCCGUAGUCC